rnacentral:rRNA from 1 species
UACGGAGGGUGCAAGCGUUAUCCGGAUUCACUGGGUUUAAAGGGUGCGUAGGUGGGCAGGUAAGUCAGUGGUGAAAUCUCCGGGCUUAACCCGGAAACUGCCAUUGAUACUAUCAGUCUUGAAUACCGUGGAGGUAAGCGGAAUAUGUCAUGUAGCGGUGAAAUGCUUAGAUAUGACAUAGAACACCAAUUGCGAAGGCAGCUAUCUGCAGAGAUAUUGACACUGAGGCACGAAAGCGUGGGGAUCAAACAGG